rnacentral:snRNA from 1 species
AUAGCUAAUUCAAGUGUAGUUUCUAUUCUUAUCAGUCUAAUAUCUGAAACGUGGGUCAAUAACUCACACGAUAAUCAGUUUAAUAUUUGACACGUGGGUCAAUGACCCACACGAUAUUAACUCCU